UGGGAGAUCGGCUAAUGGCAGGCCAUCAGACUCUGGAUCUGAGAAUCUAGGUUCGAAUCCUAGUCUCCCAGCCC
rnacentral:tRNA from 1 species